rnacentral:rRNA from 1 species
UACGAAGGGGGCUAGCGUUGCUCGGAAUUACUGGGCGUAAAGGGCGCGUAGGCGGAUACUUAAGUUAGAGGUGAAAGCCCAGGGCUCAACCCUCGGAUGCCGGUGGAUACUGGCGGGCUUGAGUACGGAAGAGGCGAGUGGAAUUCCUGGUGUAGCGGUGAAAUGCGCAGAUAUCAGGAGGAACACCAAUUGCGAAGGCAGCUCGCUGGGACGUUACUGACGCUGAGACGCGAAAGCGUGGGGAGCAAACAGG